GAUGAACGCUGGCGGCGUGCCUAAUACAUGCAAGUCGAGCGAACAGACGAGGAGCUUGCUCCUCUGACGUUAGCGGCGGACGGGUGAGUAACACGUGGAUAACCUACCUAUAAUACUGGGAUAACUUCGGGAAACCGGAGCUAAUACCGGAUAAUAUAUUGAACCGCAUGGUUCAAUAGUGAAAGACGGUUUUGCUGUCACUUAUAGAUGGAUCCGCGCCGCAUUAGCUAGUUGGUAAGGUAACGGCUUACCAAGGCAACGAUGCGUAGCCGACCUGAGAGGGUGAUCGGCCACACUGGAACUGAGACACGGUCCAGACUCCUACGGGAGGCAGCAGUAGGGAAUCUUCCGCAAUGGGCGAAAGCCUGACGGAGCAACGCCGCGUGAGUGAUGAAGGUCUUCGGAUCGUAAAACUCUGUUAUUAGGGAAGAACAAAUGUGUAAGUAACUAUGCACGUCUUGACGGUACCUAAUCAGAAAGCAACGGCUAACUACGUG
rnacentral:rRNA from 1 species